GAUGAACGCUGGCGGCGUGCUUAACACAUGCAAGUCGAACGAAGUGGAUGUCUUCGGACUGAAACUUAGUGGCGGACGGGUGAGUAACGCGUGGGUAACCUGCCUCGUACAGGGGGAUAACAGUUAGAAAUGACUGCUAAUACCGCAUAACCCGCUAAGGUCGCAUGACCUGGACGGAAAAGAUUUAUCGGUACGAGAUGGACCCGCGUCUGAUUAGCUAGUUGGUGAGGUAACGGCUCACCAAGGCGACGAUCAGUAGCCGGCCUGAGAGGGUGAACGGCCACAUUGGGACUGAGACACGGCCCAAACUCCUACGGGAGGCAGCAGUGGGGAAGUAUUGCACAAUGGGGGAAACCCGUGAUGCAGCGACGCCGCGUGAGCGAAGAAGUAUUUCGGUAUGUAAAGCUCUAUCAGCAGGGAAGAAAAUAGACGGUACCUGACUAAGAAGCACCGGCUAAAUACGUG
rnacentral:rRNA from 1 species